UUCGUCAAUGUUUGAUUUUCGAAAUGUUGUGAUCCCAGUACCUCUUCCAGCUCUUCGAGAGGCACCAAGUGUUAGGCAGAAUGAUGUGGAGUGGAAGUAUGACUAUAGAAAUUCUGUCUGGAAUGGUCGAAGUCAAUACUUCUCAUUUAUAACACUAACAGCAGUGGAUCAUGGAAUUUGUUGUGCCGUGUCAACAGUAUAUACAAGCUGAAACUUAAAAAUUUCUUAACUGAAGAAAGAAGUGCAGAACUAAUGAAGUGUGAAUACUCAGGUGCCAGUAACAAAGGAAAGAAAAGUCUGUUAAAUAUAACAGUUUUUGUUAGAAAGCCUUGCAAGAAUACGGUGUCGUUACAACAAUCUUCAAACUGUGGAAAAUUUCAAAUAAAUAAAGUUAAACAAAGUGGCAGCUCUUUCUUCUAAGUCUGAGAACAGAGUUGCAGUAGAGAAAGACAAAAGGAAUUGAAUGAUGAAUAAUUAGUGUUCGUGUGUUUGUUUGGAAGUGAAUGAACGGCUGUGAUGUAAAGUGACUGUGCUGAUGUGGCUCAUGAUUUGCCACAGUGGAAGUCAGCUCUUAUUAUAAAGAGUCAAAGGAGCAAUGCCGCGUCGUUUUGUC